rnacentral:rRNA from 1 species
UACGUAGGGGGCAAGCGUUGUCCGGAUUUAUUGGGCGUAAAGAGCGUGUAGGCGGUUAUACAGGUCCGCUGUGAAAACUCGAGGCUCAACCUCGAGACGCCGGUGGAAACCGUAAAGCUAGAGUCCGGAAGAGGAGAGUGGAAUUCCUGGUGUAGCGGUGAAAUGCGCAGAUAUCAGGAAGAACACCCGUGGCGAAGGCGGCUCUCUGGGACGGUACUGACGCUGAGACGCGAAAGCGUGGGGAGCAAACAGG